GAAGCCUGAACUUUGUCUUUCAAGUAAUCAAUUUUCUGUGCAAAGUACCACUCUGGAGCUCUGGGUUCUAUGCUGUACUUUUUACAGAACGGUACCCAUUUUCUAGCAAAUUCUGAAGUCUCAGCAAGCGCAUCAAAUGUUAACAUUGCAGCUCCAUCAUCAGACACAUAGCAAGAUACCUUAUCAACAGGGUAAUCCACAGCAAGGAUGGAGAGCACAGUAUUGGCAGUGACAAGAGGAGGUUCUUUCAUAGGAUCCACAGUACUGACAAAAAUGUCAACAGGAGCCAAUUGAGAUGGUUCACCUUCCCGGUCAUACCUGAGACCAGCCUAUCCAGGUAAGUUUCACGGUUGAUUGGGGACCACUUGGGGAACUGAUCCAGAAUCCAGGAUAGAGCAAACCAAAUCUCACAUAUGACAGAGAGCAACCAUAGCGGGUAUGCAUUACGCACAGGAUUUGUGAUACGGUAGUGCAAGAAUAUACAUAGGACAAUCAAUCGGAGCACAAUAACCAUCCUGUACGGAUUUAUUCUGGAUGACGAAAUUGGCACUUUUCUCGAUAGAGGUUGGCGUGUUUCAUCAUUCCUUAAGGCGUCCUCCAUGUUAUAGUCAGUAGAUGCAUCAAUGUCACCAACCCCACGACCUUCUGAAGGAGCAAUGCUAGUACCAUUAGCCAUGGGAAUUGCACCUUUAUCCUUCAUUUUCCAGCCAUCUACUCUCUCUUUCCAUGCAACAUUGCCAAGGCUACCAGAAAACUCCCUUGAUGGGU
rnacentral:sRNA from 1 species